rnacentral:ncRNA from 1 species
UGAGGAAGCCGGUGGAAAUCCGGCGCGGUCCCGCCACUGUCAUCGGGGAGUGACCCUCAUCAGCCACGGCCCGCAACCUGUGGGGCUGGAAGGCGAGGCGAGCAGUGAUCCGAGAGCCAGGAGACUC